UACGUAGGCAGCAAGCGUUGUUCGGAAUUACUGGGCGUAAAGGGCUCGUAGGCGCCAACUAAGUCAGACGUGAAAUCCCUCGGCUUAACCGGGGAACUGCGUCUGAUACUGGUUGGCUUGAAUCCGGGAGAGGGAUGUGGAAUUCCAGGUGUAGCGGUGAAAUGCGUAGAUAUCUGGAGGAACACCGGUGGCGAAGGCGGCAUCCUGGACCGGUAUUGACGCUGAGGAGCGAAAGCCAGGGGAGCAAACGGG
rnacentral:rRNA from 1 species